rnacentral:rRNA from 1 species
AUUGAACGCUGGCGGCAUGCCUUACACAUGCAAGUCGAACGGUAACAGGUCUUCGGAUGCUGACGAGUGGCGAACGGGUGAGUAAUACAUCGGAACGUGCCUAGUAGUGGGGGAUAACUACUCGAAAGAGUGGCUAAUACCGCAUGAGAUCUACGGAUGAAAGCAGGGGGUCGCAAGACCUUGUGCUACUAGAGCGGCCGAUGGCAGAUUAGGUAGUUGGUGGGAUAAAAGCUUACCAAGCCGACGAUCUGUAGCUGGUCUGAGAGGACGAUCAGCCACACUGGGACUGAGACACGGCCCAGACUCCUACGGGAGGCAGCAGUGGGGAAUUUUGGACAAUGGGCGCAAGCCUGAUCCAGCAAUGCCGCGUGCAGGAUGAAGGCCUUCGGGUUGUAAACUGCUUUUGUACGGAACGAAAAGCCCUGGGUUAAUACCCUGGGGUCAUGACGGUACCGUAAGAAUAAGUACCGGCUAACUACGUGCCAGCCGCCGCCGUAAAAC